rnacentral:rRNA from 1 species
AAUGAACGCUGGCGGCAUGCCUAACACAUGCAAGUCGAACGAAGGCUUCGGCCUUAGUGGCGCACGGGUGCGUAACGCGUGGGAAUCUGCCCUUGGGUUCGGAAUAACAGUGAGAAAUUACUGCUAAUACCGGAUGAUGUCGAAAGACCAAAGAUUUAUCGCCCAGGGAUGAGCCCGCGUAGGAUUAGGUAGUUGGUGAGGUAAAAGCUCACCAAGCCGACGAUCCUUAGCUGGUCUGAGAGGAUGAUCAGCCACACUGGGACUGAGACA